rnacentral:rRNA from 1 species
AGUUUGAUUAUGGCUCAGAUUGAACGCUGGCGGGAUGUUUACACAUGCAAGUCGAACGGCAGCACGGACUUCGGUCUGGUGGCGAGUGACGAACGGGUGAGUAAUGUAUCGGAACGUGCCUAGUAGCGGGGGAUAACUACGCGAAAGCGUAGCUAAUACCGCAUACGCCCUUCGGGGAAAGCGGGGGACCUUCGGGCCUCGCACUAUUAGAGCGGCCGAUAUCGGAUUAGCUAGUUGGUGGGGUAACGGCUCACCAAGGCGACGAUCCGUAGCUGGUUUGAGAGGACGACCAGCCACACUGGGACUGAGACACGGCCCAGACUCCUACGGGAGGCAGCAGUGGGGAAUUUUGGACAAUGGGGGAAACCCUGAUCCAGCCAUCCCGCGUGUGCGAUGAAGGCCUUCGGGUUGUAAAAGCACUUUAUAGUGAGGUAAGAAACGGCACGGAUAAUACCCCGUGCAACUGACGGUACCUGGGUAGAAUAAGCACCGGCUAACUACGUGCCAGCAGCCGCGGUAAUACGUAGGUGCAAGCGUUAAUCGGAAUUACUGGGCGUAAAGCGUGCGCAGGCGGUUCGGAAAGAAAGAUGUGAAAUCCCAGAGCUUAACUUUGGAACUGCAUUUUUAACUACCGAGCUAGAGUGUGUCAGAGGGAGGUGGAAUUCCGCGUGUGUAGCAGUGUAACGCGUAGAUAUGCGGAGGAACACCGAUGGCGAAGGCAGCCUCCUGGGAUAACACUGACGCUCAUGCACGAAAGCGUGGGGAGCAAACAGGAUUAGAUAAUUCUGGUAGUCCACGCCCUAAACGAUGUCAACUAGCUGUUGGGGCCUUCGGGCCUUGGUAGCGCAGCUAACGCGGUGAAGUUGACCGCCUGGGGAGUACGGUCGCAAGAUUAAAACUCAAAGGAAUUGACGGGGACCCGCACAAGCGGCAGAUGAUGUGGAUUAAUUCGAUGCAACGCGAAAACCUUACCUACUCCUUGACAUGUCUGGAAUCCCGAAGAGAUUUGGGAGUGCUCGCAAGAGAACCGGAACACAGGUGCCGCAUGGCUGUCGUCAGCUCAAAAUGUGAGAUGUUGGGUUAAGUCCCGCAACGAGCGCAACCCCUUGUCAUUAGUUGCUACGAAAGGGCACUCUAUCGAGACUGCCGGUGACAAACCGGAGGAAGGUGGGGAUGACGUCAAGUCCUCAUGGCCCUUAUGCGGGUAGGGCUUCACACGUCAUACAAUGGUCGGGACAGAGGGUCGCCAACCCGCGAGGGGGAGCCAAUCCCAGAAACCCGAUCGUAGGGUCCGGAUCGCAGUCUGCAACUCGACUGCGUGAAGUCGGAAUCGCUAGUAAUCGCGGAUCAGCAUGUCGCGGUGAAUACGUUCCCGGGUCUUGUACACACCGCCCGUCACACCAUGGGAGUGGGUUUUACCAGAAGUAGUUAGCCUAACCGUAAGGAGGGCGAUUACCACGGUAGGAUUCAUGACUGGGGUGAAGUCGUAACAAGGUAA